GGAAAUUCUGUUAUAAAAACGAAUACAUCGUGUUAAUUAGGAAAAAGAAAGCCCCCGCGAGACAUGCAAAUACAAAAACAACAGGCCGACAGCUGCAUUCACGCUCUCGCUGUGGAUCUGGCGAGAACUAAUUGAAUCUGUUAGAUAUAUAAAAAGAGAAACGCAGGGCUUGUGCCCUUGAAUUACAGCAUUCCCACCCCCCACCCCCCCUUCUUUUCUCCGUCAGCUCUAUCAGAAAACGUCCCUAAUCCCACUAAUUUAGCAGGGGAGGCUUCACACUGGGAAUUCACAGCUUGGCUCCGUGCUCAGGUGCCGUCACCAGAAACCCCAAACCUCGCGGCCACCUCUGUUCCUCCAGCAGGCAGGAGAACACCAGGAUUCCAUUACAGAUAAGCAGGCAGCAGGCAAUCCCAGCUGCCUCGCUGGCCCGUUCCUGCAGACGGCAGCAUCCCGUAAACACUUCAGGGCCCACGACUCGCCAACAGGCUGGAACACGGGUGAGAGAACAUACUGGCCAUGUGCACUGGAAACGCGUCCCGCUCAUGUCGCCCAGACAGACAGAGACCUUUACUGCGGCAAUCCAAAGGAGCAAGAGGGAAUCGAUUAGAGCUGCGUUCUUGAGGAUGAGGUGAGGACCAGCAGGCCAGAGCACCGUGUCCAGCAGGCUGGAGCCCAGAGGACCAGCAGGCCGGAGCACCGUGUCCAGCAGGCUGGAGGCCCGAGGACCAGCAGGCCGGAGCACCGUGUCCAGCAGGCUGGAGUCCCGAGGACCAGCAGGCUGGAGCGCUGUGUCCAGCAGGCCGGAGCGCCGAGGACCAGCAGGCCGGAGCGCCGUGUCCAGCAGGCUGGAGUCCCGAGGACCAGCAGGCCGGAGCACCGUGUCCAGCAGGCUGGAGUGCUGAGGACCAGCAGGCUGGGCAUCACCGCAGCCUGGCGAAGAAGGGUUCUGGUGCAGCUUUGCACCACACAAACAAAGAGAGUAGGUUCAGGCUCUCCCUGUCGUAGCCAGCCCUCUUGAUUAAGCCCAUCCUGCGCUUGGAGAUGUGCAAUACAGUCUCAUCUACUGGGGAGCUGGACACUGCAGGAUGAGAAACAAUCACAGGGCUGUCCACGCACGGAGUGACUCCUAGUGCCCGGGGGACUGCUGGCAUGCAGGAAGCCCACAGUGCCACGACAGCUGAGAGGCAAGACCGAGCUGAUGAGGAGAUUCCACACUGGGAUGGGAUGAAGGACUGGGGACUCUCGGAGAGAGGAGUAGCGCUCCUGGCUGGGGCUCGACCUGAACUGCACAGAGUCCCGAGGAAGCGUGGCGCUGCUGCUUCUUUGCUGACUUUAAACAACCCCCCCCCAGUGGAUGGGAUAGGAUGGGAUGGAGGGGAGAUUCAUGCCCUGAAGUUACUGCACUCAUCCCCUCACACACUUCCAGCCCUGUGGUUCUCCUUGCUAAACAUCCAGUGGGGAAACAGCCACUGCUACAGUUUUCUCCUCCUGGACUUCAUGAACUAAUCUGGGUGGCGUGUUAAUUACUGUAAAACACAUCAGAUAUUUGUAAGGAAGCUGCUGUAAUUGCACUGUAUGUGUGGAAACGUGUUAAUGUGUAUAGGCCAUGUUCAGCUGUGCAUUUAAUAUUUAGCAGUAUUAUACUAGAUUGAUUAAAGUUUUUUGUA